GGAACUUUGGUGAGACUCUUGUUUAUGAACACACCGAGACUAAUGAGUGUGUCCACAAUUGUAAAAGACUACUGUAAAUUUCUUUGUAGAUUAAACUCUGUGACCUUUGGAGUUACUGGGCCAUCAGAAGGAUUUGACAACUGCAUGACUGAAUCAAUGACUAAAUAUAAGUCAGUGAUUUCAGGCAACACAAAGAUCAUUUUUGAUAAAGAAGUUUGAUUAAACUUUCUUCUGCCGGAUGAUGUCUGUAUUAUGUUUCAACAAAGUGAGCUUGCAGAUUUUUCCUCUGCUGUGACAUAAUACACACAUCAUUAUUUGAAGCAUACUCCAUUAUGAUCCAAUUUUUCUAAUGCUUUUUUUUGCUCUUUUUAAUUUUUAUUUUCAGGAGAAAGGAACAAAAACAAAAUAACAAAAACAAAGUCUAAUGCAUAUUUUAUGGCUUCCUGGGUACCACAGAAAAUGCUACCACAUGCAAACAGUUCUCCUAACUUCAGCUGGCUUUCUGAGAAGUGCUUACUACUGCUGGAGCCCACAAUGUAGUCUGGAAAUUGUAAAGGAGAUAAGCUGCCUAACUUGGGAAGUCUCAACCCAGUCCAGUAGCCAUGCCACGUACUUACUGAGAAAUAGAAAAAUUCAAAGGAGUAGGAACCUAGGCACAGAUUGGUUGCCCUCUGGCAGUAAAAAGCUCCAAGCAGCUGAUACUAUUUCCCUCCCACAUUCUUUGGCCUGCUUACAGCUGGAAAGGUAGGCACCAUGCCAGCUACACCAGAUUUCCAACAUAUAUCGACCUUUCCUACUGAGUUCUAGACACUGAAAUUAUUCUCACAUCUCAUGGUUCGAUAUGUGAAAGUAGUUAAAGUCAGAGAAGUCUAAAAU
rnacentral:lncRNA from 1 species